AUUGAACGCUGGCGGCAGGCUUAACACAUGCAAGUCGAGCGGAGACUUCGGUCUUAGCGGCGAACGGGUGAGUAAUACCUAGGAAUCUGCCUAUUAGUGGGGGAUAACGAAUCGAAAGGUUCGCUAAUACCGCAUACGUCCUACGGGAGAAAGGGGGGGGAUCUUCGGACCUCUCGCUAAUAGAUGAGCCUAGGCCGGAUUAGCUAGUUGGUAGGGUAAAGGCCUACCAAGGCGACGAUCUGUAGCUGGUCUGAGAGGAUGGCCAGCCACACUGGAACUGAGACACGGUCCAGACUCCUACGGGAGGCAGCAGUGGGGAAUAUUGGACAAUGGGCGCAAGCCUGAUCCAGCAAUGCCGCGUGUGUGAAGAAGGCCUGCGGGUUGUAAAGCACUUUCAGUGGGGAAGAACAGGCCUGGGCUAAUACCCCAGGUGUCUGACGUUACCCACAGAAGAAGCACCGGCUAACUCCGUG
rnacentral:rRNA from 1 species